rnacentral:rRNA from 1 species
GUAGGGAAUAUUGGGCAAUGGUCGGAAGACUGACCCAGCCAUGCCGCGUGCAGGAAGACGGCCCUCUGGGUUGUAAACUGCUUUUAUCUGGGAAGAAAAAGGCCAUGCGUGGCAAAUUGCCGGUACCAGAUGAAUAAGCACCGGCUAACUCCGUGCCAGCAGCCGCGGUAAUACGGAGGGUGCGAGCGUUGUCCGGAUUUAUUGGGUUUAAAGGGUGCGUAGGCGGCUGAUUAAGUCAGCGGUGAAAGACUUCGGCUUAACCGGAGCAGUGCCGUUGAUACUGGUUGGCUUGAGUGUCGGAGGGGUACAUGGAAUUGAUGGUGUAGCGGUGAAAUGCAUAGAUACCAUCAGGAACACCGAUAGCGAAGGCAUUGUACUGGCCAACAACUGACGCUGAUGCACGAAAGUGUGGGGAUCGAACAGGAUUAGAUACCCGUGUAGUCC